CUCCGACUGCCUCGUGGCACACCAGUGUGCCACAGAACACAGUUUAAGAAACACUUGUAGAAUCUGAGACCCUAACUAACAGUGACUGUAUCCUCCCAAUACGGAAGUGAAGUACAGCUGUAUCAUGAUCAUUUUGCAGCGCCUAACUCCAAGCGGGGGUUCCUUUAUUAGGACUGAGGCAUGGAAGUUCUGCUUGGUUCGAUACAUCUUGUUCCCCCAACUCCUGGCUUAAAACUCCCACAAAGAAAAACAGCUGGCAGAUAAGAAAGGAGUGAAGCCAAGUAGAGCAUUGUGGAUCAUUCAGGACUUCAUUUCACUUACCUCGUGUAAGCACCAGCUAAGCCGGAUUGUGGGGCUGUAACCUUCUACAAAGGAUAUAAACACUAGGUUUUAAAACAUGGACCAGAGAUGAUGUUAUAACAACUUAAUUUAUUUCAUUCACAGAUGAGAAUUCUCAGAAAUGAAUUUGUGUAUUGUCUUGGAGUGUGUAGGCUGCGUUCGGAAGCUAAUGGGAUUAGCGAGUGCGGUUCGAAGGACAGAGUGAUGUCCCUAUGCAAGUACUCAGCACUGCAGAAUUCAACAUUUGAUGUAGUAAUUAAGUGACUAAAACGGUCUUAACAAUUUUGCUUGGUGCAGAAAUACCUUUUUAUGUUGAAAUUGAAAUGUCUCCCUGUGAAAUCCCAUAAAAUGCAUUGAAACAUUUCAGGUAUCCACCAAUAAAAUGUAGUUUGUAGUGAGUGAUGGGGCACGUAGAGGUAGGACCAACAAACCGAACUGUCUCAUUUCCAAUCAGCUUCUACUCUGUAUAGUUUUUCCACACAAUAAUCUUGUUGCCAUUUUAUUGACAGGAAAAUCUUGACCUAUUGUAAUGUGACACAGUGAAAGACUCAAAAGUGUUUCCAUCAAAGAAAUUCUGGAGAAGUUGGAGGUAGCUGAAAUGUUAAGGAGUCCCUCCUUAAUAAACCCCAGAGACUCUUCUUUGACUUGAUGGUGCUUCAGUUAGAGUAGAUCUAUAGUGGAAAUAUAUUUAGAAGUAAAACAAAGCAUCUUGGACAAGAAUAAGCACAAAUAAGAUUCAUGUGACCAUAAAGCAAGAAAAUUUGGAGUUUAGUGUGGUUCUGACUUUUCAUGUGCCUCUGAGCAAUAGUUAACUUAAUUAAAUACUGACAUUUAAGAGAUGAUUUAAGGGUGGGACUUCAACUUCCAAACUGAAUUUCCUGGGUUUUCCUUGAUAUUACUUUUAUUUGGAUGUGGAUCUUCUAAAUAUUUUCUUUUCUGUUUUCUACUGCCAAAGCCGCCAAGACAGUACACCUUAAUUUUGUCAAGGAGAUAAGAUUGUGAUCUGUAUGCAAAUAAUCCAUUUAGCUGUUGGUCUAUAACUGGUUACUCAACAUUUUUUCAUCUUAACAUGUAUUUAAAUUAUUA